GAUGAACGCUGGCGGCGUGCCUAAUACAUGCCAGUCGAGCGAACAGACGAGGAGCUUGCUCCUCUGACGUUAGCGGCGGACGGGUGAGUAACACGUGGAUAACCUACCUAUAAGACUGGGAUAACUUCGGGAAACCGGAGCUAAUACCGGAUAAUAUAUUGAACCGCAUGGUUCAAUAGUGAAAGACGGUUUUGCUGUCACUUAUAGAUGGAUCCGCGCCGCAUUAGCUAGUUGGUAAGGUAACGGCUUACCAAGGCAACGAUGCGUAGCCGACCUGAGAGGGUGAUCGGCCACACUGGAACUGAGACACGGUCCAGACUCCUACGGGAGGCAGCAGUAGGGAAUCUUCCGCAAUGGGGGAAAGCCUGACGGAGCAACGCCGCGUGAGUGAUGAAGGUCUUCGGAUCGUAAAACUCUGUUAUUAGGGAAGAACAAAUGUGUAAGUAACUAUGCACGUCUUGACGGUACCUAAUCAGAAAGCCACGGCUAACUACGUG
rnacentral:rRNA from 1 species